UACGUAGGGACCGAGCGUUGUCCGGAAUCACUGGGCGUAAAGGGUGCGUAGGCGGCCGCGCAAGUCUGGCGUGAAAGCCCCGGGCUCAGCCCGGGAAGGGCGCUCGAAACGGCGCGGCUCGAGUGCCGGAGGGGAGAGUGGAAUUCCUGGUGUAGCGGUGAAAUGCGUAGAUAUCAGGAGGAAUACCGGUGGCGAAAGCGACUCUCUGGACGGCAACUGACGCUGAGGCACGAAAGCGUGGGGAGCAAACAGG
rnacentral:rRNA from 1 species